AAUGAACGCUGGCGGCAUGCCUAACACAUGUAAGUCGAACGAAGGCUUCGGCCUUAGUGGCGCACGGGUGCGUAACGCGUGGGAAUCUGCCCUGGGGUUCGGAAUAACUCAGAGAAAUUUGAGCUAAUACCGGAUGAUGUCGAAAGACCAAAGAUUUAUCGCCCAAGGAUGAGCCCGCGUAGGAUUAGCUAGUUGGUGAGGUAAAGGCUCACCAAGGCGACGAUCCUUAGCUGGUCUGAGAGGAUGAUCAGCCACACUGGGACUGAGACACGGCCCAGACUCCUACGGGAGGCAGCAGUGGGGAAUAUUGGACAAUGGGCGAAAGCCUGAUCCAGCAAUGCCGCGUGAGUGAUGAAGGCCUUAGGGUUGUAAAGCUCUUUUACCCGGGAUGAUAAUGACAGUACCGGGAGAAUAAGCUCCGGCUAACUUCGUGCCAGCCGCCGCGGUAAGAC
rnacentral:rRNA from 1 species